CGGUUAUACGAGAGGCCCUAGUUGAUGGUAUUGCGGCGUAAAGGGUGGUUAGGGGCUGUAACCUAAUAAAGCUGAAUAGCCCUCCGGCCGUCAUACGCUUCCAGGCGCUAGAAACCCAAUUAAACGAAAGUAGCUUUAAUAAAAUUCACCUGACCCCACGAGAGCUAAGAAACAAACUGGGAUUAGAUACCCCACUAUGCUUAGCCUUAAACCCAGACAUUUAAAUACAACACAUGUCCGCCAGGGUACUACGAGCAUUAGCUUAAAACCCAAAGGACCUGACGGUGCCUCAGACCCCCCUAGAGGAGCCUGUUCUAGAACCGAUAACCCCCGUUAAACCUCACCACUUCUAGUCACCCCAGCCUAUAUACCGCCGUCGCCAGCUUACCCUGUGAAGGCAAUAAGAGUAAGCAAAAUGGGCAUAACCCAGAACGUCAGGUCGAGGUGUAGCGCACGAAGUGGGAAGAAAUGGGCUACAUUUUCUGCUACAGAACACUACGAAUACGCAACAUGAAAUAGUGCUUGAAGGAGGAUUUAGUAGUAAAAAGGAAAGAGAGUGUCCUUUUGAACCCGGCUCUGAGACGCGUACACACCGCCCGUCACUCUCCCCUGUCAAAAUGCAAUUAAAUAUUCCUAAUGCUAGAGCACUGACAAGGGGAGGCAAGUCGUAACAUGGUAAGUGUACCGGAAGGUGUACUUGG
rnacentral:rRNA from 1 species